GUUCCAGACUCCUACGGGAGGCAGCAGUGGGGAAUAUUGGGCAAUGGAGGAAACUCUUACCCAGCAAUGCCGCGUGAAUGAAGAAGGUCUUCGGAUUGUAAAGUUCUUUAAUUGGGGACGAAAAAAAUGACGGUACCCAAGGAAUAAGCCCCGGCUAACUACGUGCCAGCAGCCGCGGUAAUACGUAGGGAGCAAGCGUUGUCCGGAAUUACUGGGCGUAAAGGGCGCGUAGGUGGGCGCUUAAGUCAGGUGUGAAAACUCCGGGCUCAACCUGGAGACUGCACUUGAAACUGGGUGUCUUGAGGGCAGGAGAGGAAAGUGGAAUUCCUAGUGUAGCGGUGAAAUGCGUAGAUAUUAGGAGGAACACCAGUGGCGAAGGCGGUCUGCUGGACAGCAACUGACGGUGAGGCGCGAAAGCGUGGGGAGCAAACAGGAUUAGAUACCCCCGUAA
rnacentral:rRNA from 1 species